AAGCUGCAGGCUUAUCUUCCCUCUAUCAUGUCAUCUGAUGUCUGAAGCACAAUUCUUUCAUCAUCUUUAUGCCUUCAAGAAAGUUUUCUGAGUUUGGAAUGCAAUUCCACUUGCUUAAUGAGGAGCGUUGAAUAACAGUGUCAGCAGAUAGAGUAUGUAUUUUAUGACAACUUAAUGUGGGAGCAUAAACCUCAGCUAUAUGAAAGGACCUCAUGAAGACUGCAACUGCAAUUAUGUUGAAAUACAGAGUUCAUUUUCAGCAUUCCAGACAGAUAAACAAAAUUAAUGCUUUGCUGAACUGGAGCUGGUUCAACGCAAGAUAAAAUUUUGUCAAGUGU